AGGAAACACAGCACAUCCUCUCAAUGUAAAUCUUUGGGAGGGGCGGAAACAUGUUCAGCUGAGGCUGAACCCUGACAUUGGAUCUAAACAUCCAGCUGACGCCAGACUGCUGUGAAGAGAGAAGAUAUGGGGGAUUCGUUGUCUUUCAAACUUCUAACCUUGACCUAAGUCACUGGUUCAGUGUCAGCGAUAGUUUUUGGAGUGGCAGGGCCAGUGACAGUGGGAGUGGUGACGGGAAUUACCUUGUACGCCAUCCUGACAAGUGAAGACAAUCCACAGGCACCCGCCCCACAGAUGGAGACAAAUUAAUGACUCUAAAAUGAACUGCAAAAACAUCAGUUGAAUCAUGACUGCAAUAAAAACGAUGGCAGACAAA